rnacentral:lncRNA from 1 species
GAUGGGACUUAAUUCCAACAGUAACCUGCCAAAGCCGGAUCUAAGGCAGUACAACCUGUUUGGGUGCACCAGGCACAGUGAUUCUGGGAUGCCGCAGCAGGAACUGCAACCAUGAAGUCCAACAGAAGGCAAGAGGGCUGCCAGAUUUUGGCGUUGCACAGGGUGCCGCUGGAGUUGGUGAUGCCAAGGUUCGCCACUGAACCUGGGACAGGUAAAUGGAACAGAUUGUGAAUGUACACAACUGCGGUCACUUUAAAUCUAAAUAAGAAAUGAAUUAGGUACAUGGGGUUAUUCAAAAGAAUUAAUGUUUGAAAAAUGCAUUUAUACCCAGCAUUUCUGUUUUACAAUCCACCAGGAGAGAAGGGCUGUAGCUCAGUAACAGAGCAGAGGCUUUAUUUAUACAAGGUCCUGGGAUCAAUCCCUGGCUGAUAUGGCAGCUGCUCUUACUAAAUUCCUGCCUGAAACCCUGGAGAGAUGCUGCUGGCAGUCUCUUAAAAACAGUGGCAUAGCGUGGGUUGUCAGCACCCGGGGCAAGGCAAGUAAUUUGCGCCCCCUAACCCGUGGAUUUGCGCCCCCUAACCCUAACCCCCAGAUGUUGCGCCCGGUGCGGCUGGCCCCCCCUGCACCCCCCACGCUACGCCACUGCUUAAAAAAGCUCCACCCCAGGAGCCGGCAGGGGUUGCUACGCUGCUGUCUCACAGGGUUGUUGUGAAGAUAAAACAGGGAUGGGGAGAACGGCAUAUGCUGCCUUAUGCUCCUUGGUGGAGAGUUGGGAUAUAAAUGUGAUGAAUGAUUAUGACGGGAUGAUGUUGAGACUGUGGCAGUUUGCUGAAUAAAUAGAAGAGCUAAGAUACGGUUCACAACAAUUAGCCAUUAUGUUAUUCUAGCACUCUGGUUUUAUUUUAUUUUUUAAGUGUUAGCGUGCGUGUGUGUGUGUGUGCGUGCUCACACACACGUGUGUGCUUUAAAGAGUGAAAAACCACUGAAAUGCUUGAAAUGACAUUAAUGGAAAAAUAUAGCCACUUCUGUUAUGUAAUUUGAUGUUUAAUUGUUAUGUUAUUUACAUGUAUUGAAUUGUUAUAAUAUAAAAUAGAUAGAGAAAAACAUACCCAAACUUCAAAAUUCCUUCUGCCACCUACAAUUACAGGUAAGUACGCAUCUUCCUUUCUAUUGCUUCCUGAUUAACAGCUGGUAAACUGUGGGCCAGACUCCAGAAAAAUUGAAUAGAAAGUGAGAGAGGAGGAGGAGAACCGGUUAGAUUUCUAAGAGUUUACCAGAGAACAGAAAGUACUAUUGCAUCAAAGCCAGCUUGGCUAGCAGACAGAGGCAAGCAACCCACAGUGUGCUUUCAGGAGUUUGGAACAUUUCCCAGCUGGGAUCCCAGGCUUAGGAAGAGUUUAGCAGCUGGCAGGAAUUGGAUGAUUCUAUUGGCAGCCAAUCCAGAAACCUGGCACUGAUAGAGGCUGUGCAAAAGCCCAGAUCAGGUAGGGGAUUUAGUUUCAUGGAGCUUUAAGAAAUGCUAUCGCCUCAAUGAGCUAUUUCUUUUCAUCCCAACAUAACCAACCGCCCCAUUUGUCAAUCAACAGACAGCACUUUAUUGACUAUACCAUCAUAAUAAAUACCUUCUACAGUGGGACCUCGCAAGACAAAUGCCUCUCAAGACGAAAAACUCGCAAGACGAAAGAGUUUUUCGUUUUUUGAGUUGCUUCGUGAGACGACUUUCCCUAUGGGCUUGCUUCGCAAGACGGAAACGUCUUGCAAGUUUGUUUCCUUUUUCUUAAAACCAUUACAGUAAUACAGGGUGCAUUGCUUGAAGAGGUGCAGUUGCGACUUGACUUCGGGAAGCAACUCGUAGCACGCGGUGUGGUAGCCUUUUUUGAGGUUUUUGAAUAUUUUUUUGAAAAAAUUGAAACCGUGCUUCGCAAGACGAAAAAACUCGCAAGACGAAAAAACUCGCAGAACGAAUUAAUUUCGUCUUGCGAGGCACCACUGUAUACACUGUUCUUGCUCCACAGUUGUGGUACUCCCUUCCUUUCAAAAGGACUGCCCAAGUAAAAAACAACAACGGGGGGGGGGGGGGCAUACAAUUUACUUUCCAGACUGGCAUUCAGAAGUCUAAAGUCAGGGAGGCUGAGCAUAAAAAAAAGUAUAACCAGGUGUUUAUAGGAUACAAUGCGUGUGUUUUACCUGUUAUUAAAAAAGCCCUGGGGAAUGGGCCACCUAGAAAUUUAAUUAAGUAAUUUAUUAGCUUCUUAUGCAUAGAGAUUGACUGGGAAGAUCCACUGAGGAUGUUGUGCUGGAAACAAUGGUAGCUGGUGCAUGUUAGAAUCAAGAGGGCAGAAGGCAGGCAACCCAAAUGGUAGGUGGAGCCAGAGCCAAUGAAAGACAGAGUCAACUAUGCGCACCUUGAAAAUAUCACUUACAGUUUAUGGAGGUCAAAGGCUUUAUUCAUGCAGGAACUAUUUACUGUAUAAGUGACAGACCAGGCCCACUGGUGAGGCAAGGUGAGGUGCCCGCCUUGAGCAGAGGAAGCAAGGUGAGGUGCCUGCCUCUGCCACCCACCCCACUGCCUCUACUGCUAGUAGUGGCACCAGUUUCUGAAGAGAUCUUUCAAUAUCUAGCUGGAAGCCAGUGCCACUGCUAGUGUUUCACAACUGUUUCUGCGUAGCACAGUUAAGACAGGUAAGGUGGCAGGGUGGCAGUGAAGGGUGAUGAUAGCGGAGGGCGCCAGCAUGUUCCUGUUUCACUUAAAGUGGUGAAACAGAAUGUGCCGCCACUGCUAAGUGAAGACAACAAGAAGAAAAUAGUAGACAUGUCUCAACAAGUUGGGAGAGAACAAUACACAAAAUGGCUCAGCCUUUUAGGGGUGGAGUUAACAUAGAGGGGCUACAAGCAAGUGUUGGAUAAUAUCCAGGACAGCCAUCAUAAACAAUAUGGCUGUAAAAGUCUAGGAUCCAAUCUUAGGCCUUGCCUGAGGCAAGAGCCUGUUCUGCUACUGUGAUGACCAUUCUCAAUGCCUCCAUUUAUUCUCUGUUCACACAAGGUGUGAAGUAUCUAGAUUGGGAGCCUCAAUAUUAAAUAAUUCCUGCUGUGUGGUUUCUUCUAAGCAGACUGUCCAAAGGGUUGCCAUGGUGUUCUCCUCUCUGAAAUGAACAUUUAAAUCCAAGGAAGAGGAGAGAAAGAUGAAGCUAUUUGCAAUUAAGAAUUAGCAUCAGCCAAAUGACCUCUAAAUUUGAUCCCUUUCCAUGGAACAACAAUACCAUAAAAAGGAAAACUGCAAAUCAAGGUGGGGUGGGGGUAGUGUUUAACAUUUCAGUGCCUCUCUGGCUACUGAAUUGCAAAACACCAACUUAACUUUGCAGUAUGUUUAGAGGAGGGAAUGUUUUGGGAACGCUUUAUUCCCACUCCAUAUCCAUUUGCUGCUCUCUCUGCCAAGGAUUAUCAUUGACAAUGACAACAAUGGUGAGAAUCACCUCGGAUAAUUUAGCUUACUUCUUAGCUGCAAGGGCCAGGAAGAUUUGAUCCUUUAACCCCUAACUGUCAUAAUUGGCAGCAAUGAAAAGGACGAGAAAAUUACAAAUGUAGUUGGGUGUAUGUGCAAAACUAUGCACAUUGAGGCAAAAAUAUAAAUGACGUCUAUGACAAUGGGGCUCUGAGCAGGCAGGUUCCCACUGAGCACAAAAGGGAUUGUGGGGUCAGGGUAGGCAGGUCAAUAAAAGUGUUGAGCCAGUGUGAGGCAGCUGUGGAAAAAGGCAAAUUCCAUGCCAGGGAUCAUUAGGAAAGGGAUGAAAAACGCAGCUGCCAAUGUUGCAAUGCCAUGACUAAUGCAAUCACACUUGAAAUACUAUGUACAGUUCUGGUCGCUGCACCUCAAAGAGGAUAUUUCAGAACUGGGAAAGGUAGAAAAGGGUAUAUAAAAUGGCUGAAGGUCUGAAGCAAAUCUCCUAUGGCGAAACAGGGUGGAGAUAAAAUCACAAGGAAGCUGAUUGUAAGGAUUAGACAAUAAUGUGUGAAUUGCUUUGAACAGUCUGGUAUGCCUUAUAUCUUCUACGCGGGAGUAUUGGUUUUGUUUGUUAUUGUGUUCUGUAUUUUUGUGUUUAAUAUUCUAAACUGCCCUGUGAUCCUUGGGUGAAGGAUGGUAUAGAAAUGUAAUAAAUAAGCAUAACACAACUUGUGCAAGGAAGCCGGUAAAACGUGGGUUGAACAAGGUAACUACUAGGUGGAUUUGUAGCCGGUUGACUGACUGAACCCAAAGAAUGCAUAGCUGUCAAGCGUCCCUUAUUUGGUGGGAAAGUCCCUUAUCCCAGCGACGUGUCCCGCUGCUGUCCCUUAUUGAUGAUGUCCCUUAAAUUUCCCGGGUUUCAAAGGAAGCAGCUCCUCUCCCUCCCUCCCUGCCGGCCAGGGAGGAGGGAGGCUCCAACUGUGUUGUUUGGCUGCGUUGCUCACCCAAUAAAGAGUCUAAGAACGACUGGGGGGUGGAGCUUGCAUGCCUUGUGCCAAUCAAAUUGGCCGCGUUGGCUGGGGACUCACCUUUGCUCAGCGCUUCCCAGCGGAGAGGUGACGGUGGUUUUCCUUGCUGUAUCCCUUUGCCGGGUUGCUGCGCUGUGGGAACCACCGCUUGAGGCUUCGUUUGGCUUCUGGCUGGGCUUUCUGCCUUUGACUCGGAGGGGCUCAGAAGUCGAACAUACCUGCGCUCUGAAAAUCCCUUAUUUUGGCUGCUGAUCCCUUAUUUCCAAGGCUGCUGGUCCCUUAUUUUUAAAUCUAUAAGUUGACAGCUAUGCAAAGAGUGCCUGUCUUUAUCCUGCUCUUCCCCUACUUGCAAUGCCGCGUCUUUCCUCCCUGCUGUCCAGAGCCUUGAUCUGGGGGGCCACCAGCUGAUCCAUGAGGGGCAUCUUCGCUUGCACACCACCCAGAGGAAGACUGUGGGUCAGUGACUGGCCAAAGCUAGCCCUCUUGGUGGGGAGGGGGAUGCGCUUCCUUUGAACAGGAAUCAAAGAGGGGAGGGGCUGUGGCUUAAUGGAGAGUUGGCGAGAGGGAGCUGGGUGCACCAAGGGAAGGGUAGCCAGGAAACACCACCAUCUCUCUCUUAGGCCUGCGUGUGCUGCUCUUCAUGGACCUGGUGGUUCUUCUGGAAUGCCACAGGGAGGGGGCACAGAGACCCUCCUUCAGCCCCAUCCUCCCUCUGAAUGAGGUCCUCCUCUGUCCCACGGCCACAGGUAAGUAGGGAAGCCACACAACCAUGUUCCUCCUCACUUAAAGAUGCAAAGCUGCACAGGCCAGCCCUGCUGUGUGGAUGUUUUUUCCAUCUUGUCUCUCUUCUCUGCAUUGCUGUACCUGGGCCCACACUCCUGGUAUGUGUGUGUAUCAUUCUUAACUACCUGCCCUUCACUCACAGGUCCCAGGCACGGGCAGAGAAAGGGAGGUGCGGGGGGCGCGGUCUGCUCCAGGUGCCAUCCUGGGGGGGGGGACAUCGCCGCAGCCCCCCAUGCACACUGCGCCCCCCAUAUGCUCAUCGCAGGCAGCAGGAGGCUAGCAGCACCCCAACACUCACCACACGGGCGGCGGGCAGCUAGGGAACUCCGGUCCACUCUGGGUGCUGGAGCAGGUAGCUCCGCCUCUGCUCCCAGGUUGGGUUACAGCAAUUAAAUUAGUUUAAAACAACCUACUAGCACAGAAACGGGAUGCAUAGUUUAUGAAACACCUUAAGGGUCAACAGCCCAGGUAAAGACAUAGCUACCCACAAUAGCUCAGAGUUGUGUUGGAACCCCCUGGAGAAAGAUGCUGCCGGAGAGCCACUCAGCUCUUCUCCUUUAGAAAGUCUCUCUGUCUCUCUCUCUUCCCCUCCCUUUUCCUGGCAAGUGGCUGGAGGAUCUGGAGGGGGUCACAAAGAACACCUGCAGGCAGCCCCCCCCAAGGCCCAACUGCACCUUCCAGGUGAGGGAGACCUCCACCCCUGAUGUUUCCUUCUGAACUCACCACACACUCCACCAAUGGACAUAUUUGCUCCUCUUUUUUAGGAUGCUGGUGCUGGUCCAACAUCAUGCUGUUUCCAUUCCCGUGACUCCAAGGAGAAGGCGCUAGAGUGGGGCUCCUGGCGAGUUGUUGGAGGUGGCCGGGUGGGUGAUGAUGGUGGCAGCCUCAGUGGUCAAAGUUUGAGGGUGGCAAGGCAUGAUGGAAGUAUCCUGCCCUCCUCCCCCUCCUCCUAAGAUCUGGGAGGGGUCAAAGCCCCCUGCCCCCCAUUGGCUUCUUCCUCUUUUGGACCUUGGUGGAAUGGCGGCUUCCUUUAAGUUGCUUCCUUUCUCCCCUCCCCAGACAGUAAAAUGGUACCCCACCUCUGCCAUGCCUGAAAUUAAACUGCUGGUGGGAGGAGGACAAGAAUGACAGUGAGGAGGAUGAAGAGCAUGAAGAUGACAAGGAGGAGAACCAGGAGGAGGAGGCAGAGGUCUUGGUCAGGCAACUGCUGCAGGAUGGAGGCUUAUUUUCUGUGCCUGCCUUUGCCAGGGUGAGGGGGGCUCUAUGCAACUGCCCUCAUAUCCAGACAAAAGAGGGAACUGCUGCUGCCACUGCCCACUUUCCUCUCUCCCCCAGAACCUUCUUGUUGUUAUUUUUUACAACAAUGAAUACCGCAAUAAAUAUUAAACAGUAGUAUAUGUAUCCAGUAGUAUACAUAUAUAUAGUAGUAUAUGUUUGUUCUGUCCAUUGAGCUAUGCCCUUCCCCAUGUUAUAAAAAUUAUAAGGUGUCAUAAAUAAAAUGAAUGUUCAUAAAGAAUACUUAAAG